GUCUCUAAUGAUGAUUUUAUGAUUAAAACUUUCGUUCUUCCGAGAAAUUACCUAUGAGGAAUUCUUAUGGAGACCUGAACUGAAGAGAC
rfam:Jatropha curcas cultivar GZQX0401 scaffold160_51, whole genome shotgun sequence.